rnacentral:lncRNA from 1 species
AGACAAAGGGCACAAAUUCUAGGAGACUUGAGGGAGGUCGCACAGUUGGUAAGAGGAGGGUUUGCUGGGAUUUGAACGCGUAUUUGAGGUCAGGCUCAAGCCCACCGGUCUGUACUUCUGUCCUUGAAAGCAGGCGCACACAUACCCUCUUCGUAGCCCUUACAGAGAACCAGAGAGCCGACAGCCCCAGUUGCCUACCUGUUAGAAGCCGCUCUCUUCACGGGGACGGGAGCGACAGGGACUGGCGGCGUCUUGUCCUGCUCCAGGAAGAGGUUCCGGUGAAGGCGCUGCCUGGGCCCCUGCGAGAUCCAAGCACUUCAGGGCCCUGGGACUUGGGCGCCUGAUCAGCGGGGUCCCUCCUCUUGCACCUUUGAGGAAAGGCUUCUGCCCUGAGCUCGCAGAAGCAGCCAAGGUGCCGAGAGCAUUUUUCCCCUAGCCACUCCACUAAGCCAGGCUAAGUGACCUGUGUCCAGCCCGUGACCCGGCACUGUAUGAGCACUGCUCACUGUCCUGGGCCUGGGGAAGAUGCGGCGCUUGGGGCCAGGGGUGGGGACCCCCAAAGGGGGCACCCGGAAAGGAUUACCUGGAAGAACGUGGAGGAGGUGGUGCCUCGUUUCUUCCUGAUGCUCGAGGGCCAGAGAAGGAGCAGACUGCCUGAUGGGUAUGAAGAUGCUGGCCGCUGGGUGUGCGGACGAGCUACAGGUGAGCUCGAGGACCUGUGGCCAAGCCCCCGCUGUCUCCGGUUUUCCCCGAGGGCCUCCUCCAAGCAGCACCCUCCCCUCCCCCAACCAGUCCUCACCUCUGUCCUCCGGAGCCUGGGUGCGCAUUGCCUGUGGGAGGAGGCUCUCAGGGUGGGACCCAGACUUCCAGGACCUCCAGCUGCUUCAAGAAACCUGACCCCUUCUGUCCUGCCCCCUGUCUGUCCGUCUGUCUGUUCUUUCCCGCUCCGUCCCCACCCCAUCGGAAGCACAAGUUCCCAUUGUCUCUGUCUUUCCCCCUAUUGUUGAAUAACAGGGGCCCUUUCUUUAUCCUGUGGGCAAGGGCAACGAAAUGUCAACAGCUGGGGAUGUGGGAUGCGGGACCGGCUGGCACACAGCACCGGAAAAAGGGCCCGGGUAGGGGCAGGCUCAGAACAGGACUGGACAUCCCCAGGGAGAGGGGAGUGGGGGCGGGGAGAGCGGUUGGUGAGAAGGUUGAAAGGGGGGGGGUCCCCUCCACGCCAGGCUUCAAGCCUCGGGAGAGAUGUGGUGUGAGGCCAGGGGUGGCGGGGCCCCGUGGAGGGCAGAACGCGUGGUGGGAAUAGCACUGGGAGCGAAGGCAGGAGGGCUUUCUGCGCCCGGGAGGGCAACGGGAGUUUCCGAGAAGGACUUUGGAAAGCUCUCCAAAAGAGGGGUCGGUUUAUUUGUCCCGCCUCCUCCUAGUGCCAGUGCUCCGGAGAAGGGAGGUCCUCGACCUCCCUGGGAGGACAUACGCUUCUCCACAGCGCCCCCUGGAGUCUAAGCAGCUGGAGUUCACACGCCCAGUCCGGACCUUUCGGUCGAGGUACAAUCUGCCUCCGACAAGCAGCAGGGACCUCCAGUGGACAGCUCACUGCACUUACCAGUAUACACGCCACGGAACUAAGCCCCGGAUCAGCGUAUAGAACGUUUCAACGCCCAGGAUAAGCCUGUUUCUUUUUUGUUUGCUGUCAGGGCAGAGGGAGGACUCUCUCCGGAAAUAGCCGUUUAGGAAGGUUCCAGCUUCCGGUCCCUCUUAGCCUUACUUUCUGUCUGCCCGGCAACCCCACAUCAGUAGCUUUGCGUUAUUGGGAUCGUGCGCUUUUUGGAACCGGAGGGGACCUCAGGACGCCCAGCUUCUUCAGUCACCGACCAAGAGGACCUGGUGAGGGAGGGCCUUGCCCAAGCCCGCACGGAAGGCAGCUGUGGAGCCUGGGACUUGCUGCUGUUCCCGCCAAUCCCUCUUCGGAGCCUCAGUCGGAUUCUCCGAGUCGCGGGCUGCGGGCUUUUCCGCUGGGGCCGCAUCUCCUAACGGGGAGCCCACGCCACCUGCUCCCUUCAGGGCUUUGGAGGACAGUCUCCACCGUCCUGCAUCACCAUCCCCGUCCCGAGCCCUUCCCUCCUCCUCCCAGA